AAAUUGAAGAGUUUGAUCAUGGCUCAGAUUGAACGCUGGCGGCAGGCCUAACACAUGCAAGUCGAACGGUAGCACAGAGAGCUUGCUCUCGGGUGACGAGUGGCGGACGGGUGAGUAAUGUCUGGGAAACUGCCUGAUGGAGGGGGAUAACUACUGGAAACGGUAGCUAAUACCGCAUAACGUCGCAAGACCAAAGAGGGGGACCUUCGGGCCUCUUGCCAUCAGAUGUGCCCAGAUGGGAUUAGCUAGUAGGUGGGGUAACGGCUCACCUAGGCGACGAUCCCUAGCUGGUCUGAGAGGAUGACCAGCCACACUGGAACUGAGACACGGUCCAGACUCCUACGGGAGGCAGCAGUGGGGAAUAUUGCACAAUGGGCGCAAGCCUGAUGCAGCCAUGCCGCGUGUAUGAAGAAGGCCUUCGGGUUGUAAAGUACUUUCAGCGGGGAGGAAGGCGUUGUGGUUAAUAACCACAGCGAUUGACGUUACCCGCAGAAGAAGCACCGGCUAACUCCGUGCCAGCAGCCGCGGUAAUACGGAGGGUGCAAGCGUUAAUCGGAAUUACUGGGCGUAAAGCGCACGCAGGCGGUCUGUCAAGUCGGAUGUGAAAUCCCCGGGCUCAACCUGGGAACUGCAUUCGAAACUGGCAGGCUAGAGUCUUGUAGAGGGGGGUAGAAUUCCAGGUGUAGCGGUGAAAUGCGUAGAGAUCUGGAGGAAUACCGGUGGCGAAGGCGGCCCCCUGGACAAAGACUGACGCUCAGGUGCGAAAGCGUGGGGAGCAAACAGGAUUAGAUACCCUGGUAGUCCACGCCGUAAACGAUGUCGACUUGGAGGUUGUGCCCUUGAGGCGUGGCUUCCGGAGCUAACGCGUUAAGUCGACCGCCUGGGGAGUACGGCCGCAAGGUUAAAACUCAAAUGAAUUGACGGGGGCCCGCACAAGCGGUGGAGCAUGUGGUUUAAUUCGAUGCAACGCGAAGAACCUUACCUACUCUUGACAUCCAGAGAACUUAGCAGAGAUGCUUUGGUGCCUUCGGGAACUCUGAGACAGGUGCUGCAUGGCUGUCGUCAGCUCGUGUUGUGAAAUGUUGGGUUAAGUCCCGCAACGAGCGCAACCCUUAUCCUUUGUUGCCAGCGGUCCGGCCGGGAACUCAAAGGAGACUGCCAGUGAUAAACUGGAGGAAGGUGGGGAUGACGUCAAGUCAUCAUGGCCCUUACGAGUAGGGCUACACACGUGCUACAAUGGCGUAUACAAAGAGAAGCGACCUCGCGAGAGCAAGCGGACCUCAUAAAGUGCGUCGUAGUCCGGAUUGGAGUCUGCAACUCGACUCCAUGAAGUCGGAAUCGCUAGUAAUCGUAGAUCAGAAUGCUACGGUGAAUACGUUCCCGGGCCUUGUACACACCGCCCGUCACACCAUGGGAGUGGGUUGCAAAAGAAGUAGGUAGCUUAACCUUCGGGAGGGCGCUUACCACUUUGUGAUUCAUGACUGGGGUGAAGUCGUAACAAGGUAACCGUAGGGGAACCUGCGGUUGGAUCACCUCCUUACCUUAAAGAA
rnacentral:rRNA from 1 species